rnacentral:rRNA from 1 species
GACGAACGCUGGCGGCGUGCUUAACACAUGCAAGUCGAACGGUGACGGAGGAGCUUGCUCUUCCUGAUCAGUGGCGAACGGGUGAGUAACACGUGGGCAACCUGCCCCUGACUUUGGGAUAACGCUUCGAAAGAGGUGCUAAUACCGGAUAUGAGCUCCCUUGGCAUCUGGGGGGCUGGAAAGUUUUUCGGUCAGGGAUGGGCCCGCGGCCUAUCAGCUUGUUGGUGAGGUAAUGGCUCACCAAGGCGACGACGGGUAGCCGGCCUGAGAGGGCGACCGGCCACACUGGGACUGAGACACGGCCCAGACUCCUACGGGAGGCAGCAGUGGGGAAUAUUGCGCAAUGGGCGGAAGCCUGACGCAGCAACGCCGCGUGAGGGAUGACGGCCUUCGGGUUGUAAACCUCUUUCAGCAGGGAAGAAGCGCAAGUGACGGUACCUGCAGAAGAAGCACCGGCCAACUACGUGCCAGCAGCCGCGGUAA